rnacentral:rRNA from 1 species
GUGCCAGCAGCCGCGGUAAUACGUAGGGGGCAAGCGUUGUCCGGAAUCAUUGGGCGUAAAGAGCGUGUAGGCGGCCCGAUAAGUCCGCCGUGAAAGUCCAGGGCUCAACCCUGGAAUGCCGGUGGAAACUGUCGGGCUGGAGUCCGGAAGAGGCGAGUGGAAUUCCUGGUGUAGCGGUGAAAUGCGCAGAUAUCAGGAGGAACACCAAUGGCGAAGGCAGCUCGCUGGGACGGUACUGACGCUGAGACGCGAAAGCGUGGGGAGCAAACAGGAUUAGAUACCCCAGUAGUCC